AACCUCAGCUCAGGCGGGGCUACCCGCUGAGUUUAAGCAUAUCAAUAAGUGGAGGGAAAAAAACUAAUGAGGAUUACCCUAGUAACGGCGAGCAAACCAAGAAGAGCG
rnacentral:rRNA from 1 species